ACUGAGACACGGACCAGACUCCUACGGGAGGCAGCAGUGAGGAAUAUUGGUCAAUGGACGAGAGUCUGAACCAGCCAAAUCGCGUGAAGGAAGACUGCCUUAUGGGUUGUAAACUUCUUUUAUACAGGAAUAAAAAGGGGAACGUGUUCCCCAUUGCAUGUACUGUAUGAAUAAGCAUCGGCUAACUCCGUGCCAGCAGCCGCGGUAAUACGGAGGAUGCGAGCGUUAUCCGGAUUUAUUGGGUUUAAAGGGUGCGCAGGCGGGCUUUUAAGUCAGCGGUGAAAUCUGGUCGCUUAACGAUCACACUGCCGUUGAAACUGGGAGCCUUGAGUAUAGAUGAAGUAGGCGGAAUUCGUUGUGUAGCGGUGACAUGCUUAGAUAUAACGAGGAACUCCGAUUGCGUAGGCAGCUUACUAAACUAUAACUGACGCUCAAGCACGAAAGCGUGGGUAUCAAACAGGAUUAGAUACCCUGGUAGUCCACGCCGUAAACGAUGAUUACUAGUUGUUUGUGAUAUAUAAUAAGUGACUAAGCGAAAGCGAUAAGUAAUCCACCUGGGGAGUACGCUGGCAACAGUGAAACUCAAAGGAAUUGACGGGGGCCCGCACAAGCGGAGGAACAUGUGGUUUAAUUCGAURAUACGCGAGGAACCUUACCCGGGCUUGAAAUGCAGACGAAUAACGUGGAAACAUGUUAGCUAGCAAUAGCGUCUGUGUAGGUGCUGCAUGGUUUGUCGUCAGCUCGUGCCGUGAGGUGUCGGCUUAAGUGCCAUAACGAGCGCAACCCACAUUAUUAGUUACUAACAGGUCUAGCUGAGGACUCUAAUAAGACUGCCGGCGUAAGCUGUGAGGAAGGUGUGGAUGACGUCAAAUCAGCACGGCCCUUACGUCCGGGGCGACACACGUGUUACAAUGGGUGGUACAAAGGGCAGCUACUGUGCGAGCAGAUGCUAAUCUCCAAAGCCACUCCCAGUUCGGAUCGGAGUCUGCAACUCGACUCCGUGAAGCUGGAUUCGCUAGUAAUCGCGCAUCAGCCAUGGCGCGGUGAAUACGUUCCCGGGCCUUGUACACACCGCCCGUCAAGCCAUGGGAGCUGGGGGUAUCUGAAGUGCGUAACCGCAAGGAGCGUCCUAGGGUAAAACCG
rnacentral:rRNA from 1 species